ensembl:lncRNA
GGUGGCUCCUUUCAUGAGGUGACUGGGGAAAACAGGGGUGUGGUCACCCUCCCAUUGUGCGGCUCAGAACGCUGAGGCACAGAGAGGAGCCCUUGACGAGCCAGGGGUCGGGCCCCCACCCCCACAGAUGAGGACACUGAGGCAGCAGGAGUCACGUGGGGGUUUCUAGAGACAGUGCAUGGGGAUUUUCCUGCAAGCUCCUCUUGGGGACCUCUGAAAGCCCACUGGGGGCCCCUGCCGACCUGCGUGUGGACCACCACCCUCUCCCAGGGCCUCAGCCUCUCCCUCCUGCCAGGGGAAACUUGGCCCCAGAGCUCCCGUGUACCCCGCCAGGUCCCACGGCUCUGUCCCCAGCUUUCUGUCCGUGACCGCCCCUCCCCUCUACCCCGCCCCUCCUGCUGCGAAGUUCUGACAGCCCCCUGGUGUCUCUGGUAAUAAACGGUACUGUAGUGACCUUUCCUUCUUUGGGGUCACCCUGGCCUGGGGAGGCAGAUGAGACGCCAGGCUCCCUGGGAGGAGGGAGGAACAAGCUACUCUUUGACUUUUCGACUCAAGAUGGACCCCAUUUCACCAUCAGGGUAGGUGUGGCCAACACUAAUUAGCACCUACCUGUGUACCUGGCUGGUGCUGAACCUCAAACCACCUCAGAGUUACCUCAGCCCUGAGACCACCAUCACUGCUAUUGUACAGAGAAGAACUCUGACGCUAGGGGAAGAUCUCCAUGACUCAUACCUGGGUCUCCUAGGCUGGGUGACAUAGAGGUGAGGGGUGGCAGUCGUUGUGAGUAGGAGCCAUCCAGGCAGCCUGCUCAGAGGAGACACCACGGCAGGUGGGGUGGCUUCAGGUCAGAUGUGUCAGGGCUGCGAGAGGACUUCCAACUCGGAAUCUGGCUAUGGGUCUAGGUCUUGGCAUCACUGAUUCUGUGGCCUCGGGCAAGAUUCUUCUUUGAGACCUGGUCUCCUCGUGGGCGGAGCCAGUUUCAGAGCGAAGGUGAGCAGGAAUGGUGAGGGCUUGGCACCUGCGUGGGCCCCAAGGUAGGGGCUAGGUGAAGGAGAGGCCCAG